rnacentral:rRNA from 1 species
CGAUGAAGAACGCAGCAAGGUGCGAUAAGUAGUGUGAAUUGCAGAAUUCAGUGAAUCAUCGAAUCUUUGAACGCAAAUGGCGCUCUUGGGUUUUCCCAGGAGCACGUCGGUUUCCAAAACG